AUGCAAAGAACUUUGAAAAGAGAGUUAAAGAGUACCUGAAAUUGCUGAAAGGGAAGCGAAGGAAACCAGUGCUUGUUCUACUAUUUUUCUCCUACUGCUUGCAGUUGGGGCGCUGUGGUAGUUCUGAUGCCAGCAUGGGUUGGGCUCGGGAUAAGUAGCCAUGCAGAAGGUGAGUUCUUUGGAACUGAAGACUGCUUGGUGUUAUCUUGGGCUUGACUGAGGCUAGUCACUUGUGCUCGUGAUGCUGGCAAAAUGGUUUUCUUUACCCCGUCUUGAAACACGGACCAAGGAGUCUAACAUAUGUGCGAGUAUAGAGGUGUUAAACCUCCAUGCGUAAUGAAAGUAACAGUGGUAGGACCUUUUGGGCACUAUCCACCGGCCACAAUCCUUCGGGAGAAAGGUCUGAGUGUGAGCAUACAUGUUGGGACCCGAAAGAUGGUGAACUUUUCCUGAAUAGGGUGAAGCCAGGGGAAACUCUGGUGGAGGCUCGUAGCGAUUCUGACGUGCAAAUCGAUCGUCAAAUUGGGAAAA
rnacentral:rRNA from 1 species